rnacentral:rRNA from 1 species
UCCUACGGGAGGCAGCAGUGGGGAAUAUUGGACAAUGGGGGAAACCCUGAUCCAGCGACGCCGCGUGAGUGAAGAAGUAUUUCGGUAUGUAAAGCUCUAUCAGCAGGGAAGAAAAUGACGGUACCUGACUAAGAAGCCCCGGCUAACUACGUGCCAGCAGCCGCGGUAAUA